GACAUACCGACAUAUGGCUCACCCGCUCACCAACCAGUUAACGUACCGACAUAUGGCUCACCCACUCACCAAUCAGUAGACGUACAGACGUAUGAUUCACCCGCUCACCAACCAGUAGACAUACCGACAUAUGAUUCACCAGCUCACCAAUCAGUAGAUGUACAUACAUAUGAUUCAACUGUUCAACAACCAGUAGACGUACCGACGUAUGAUUCACCCGUCCUGCAACCAAUAGACGUACAGACAUAUGGUUCAACCGCUCACCAACCAAUAGAGGUACCGAGAUAUGGUUCACCUGUUCAACAACCAAUAGACGUACCGACAUAUGGUUCACCUGUUCAUAAUUCACAGACACCCUAUUCACAUUCUAAUGAGAUACCAGUAGAAUCAGAUUGGACAGAUUGUGUAUUGGAAGCGAUACCAGAGAAACUUUACAGUUAUUAUCAUUCUUUAUCUGGUGAAACGAUGAACUGUGCUCCUGGUACCAUGUUUUCCGAGGCAGCGUGUACAUGUAUCCAGUCUCCAUCUUUCUAUGGAUUAGCCCACGGAGGAAUUAAACCGUCACCUGUGGAUUAUGUACAUCAUGUCCCUGAUACUGAUAACUUCGCUGGGUGUUAUCUGGAAGCCAUUGAUAAUGACAAUACCAAGUAUUAUAACCGAGAAUAUAAGAAUAUCAUGCCCUGUGCACCAGGAACUGUCUUCUCACAGAAAACUUGUGG